rnacentral:lncRNA from 1 species
CACGGAGGUGGCGUGACUGGGCCGGCCGGAUAGCCCCACCCGGAGCCCAGAGGCGCGGCGCCCGCGGCCCACGCGGGGCGGGCGGGACGGGGGUCGUCCGCUGGCGUGCCCGCGGGCUUUCACCCGCAAAGCAGCCGUCCGAGGUUCCGGUCUCCGCCUGGGGUCGCCUGAGUACUGCGUCUACCAGGGCUCCUCCGGAGGGCGUGGGGGAAGGGGGAAGAAGCAGCUGCGCCACGGUUGCUUGCGGCCUGUGCCCAAGGCGGGGUAUUCUCAAACUUGGGAACCAGCCUUGUAGCCUGACAAAAUUACCUGGGAUGGAGCUCAGGACGACUGGCCCUUGUCUUGCUCUGUGACUGUACAUGUCACUUCUCACUUGUCCAUUCAAAAAAAACUCUGGAGAACCUCCUGUCUGCUUGGGCUUCUAAAUCAUGGCAUCUGCCAAAUAGAAGCAUGGAAGGCUUUGCAAAAGAAUUGACAUUUGAUAUGGAUUCUGACAGAAGAAAAGGAGUUCCCUGGGUGGCAUCAGUUCAUCUUCUAUAAGCUUCCAGGAGCAGCCAGCCCAGGAGCACAGUGGGGCUAUCAGCAAAGCAGGGAUGCUGAUCCAAGUUCAAAUCCCAGUCUUCCCAGGGCCACACUGGGAGCUUUGGAGAAAAUUGCAGAAGUUGGAGUUGGCAUCCGUCAACGUAGUGGGAUGAAACAAAGUGGCAGUCGUGGGCCACCUUGCAUAUGGCCUGCACACAGUAGGCCCUCAGCUAGUGAAGGCUUCUGCAGGUGGGGCCCAUGGAGCCCCAGACUUUGGGCUGAGGGAGGCCCAGGCCUAGCCCAUUAGAGGCUGCUGAGCUCCACAUGGAAACCCCAGCUGGCUGUGGGGCCCAAGGUGUUGUGUGGUGAAGUGGCUUCUGGUCAGUGCCAGCGCACGUCCCUACCAGAUUCAGGACCAGUGGCCCCCCAGUGCCAUGAGAAUACUGUGAAAGCUUCCCAGAGGAGGUGCUAUUUGAUCCCCUUUAAAGGAAUACAUCAAAGCCCUACAGGUUGGCCCAAAGCUGCUGUGUCCCCGUAGACAGUGGAUAAGUAACUUGAAAUUCCCUGUGUCCCAAGCACCUGCUGUGUGCUCAAUCAGGAAAGCAAGUGAUAAGCCGAAAAGACAAGCUGCUCAAAUGGGCAAAGAAUAUGAGUAGGUAUGAAUAGGUAUAUGAAUAUGAAUAGGUUCACCAAAGAGGCAUGGAAAGUGGCUCGGAAAUUGAUUUUUAAAAAGAAUGCUCAGU